CCUACGGGAGGCAGCAGUAGGGAAUCUUCCACAAUGGACGAAAGUCUGAUGGAGCAACGCCGCGUGAGUGAAGAAGGGUUUCGGCUCGUAAAGCUCUGUUGGUAGUGAAGAAAGAUAGAGGUAGUAACUGGCCUUUAUUUGACGGUAAUUACUUUGAACGUCACGGCUAACUACGUGCCAGCAGCCGCGGUAAUACGUAGGUGGCAAGCGUUGUCCGGAUUUAUUGGGCGUAAAGCGAGUGCAGGCGGUUCAAUAAGUCUGAUGUGAAAGCCUUCGGCUCAACCGGAGAAUUGCAUCAGAAACUGUUGGACUUGAGUGCAGAAGAGGAGAGUGGAACUCCAUGUGUAGCGGUGGAAUGCGUAGAUAUAUGGAAGAACACCAGUGGCGAAGGCAGCUCUCUGGUCUGCAACUGACGCUGAGGCUCGAAAGCAUGGGUAGCGAACAGGAUUAGAUACCCGUGUAGUC
rnacentral:rRNA from 1 species